rnacentral:rRNA from 1 species
UACAGAGGUCUCAAGCGUUGUUCGGAUUCAUUGGGCGUAAAGGGUGUGUAGGUGGCGCCGUAAGUCGGGUGUGAAAUUUCGGAGCUUAACUCCGAAACUGCAUUCGAUACUGCGGUGCUUGAGGACUGGAGAGGAGACUGGAAUUCAUGGUGUAGCAGUGAAAUGCGUAGAGAUCAUGAGGAAGACCAGUGGCGAAGGCGGGGUCUCUGGACAGUUCCUGACACUGAGGCGCGAAGGCCAGGGGAGCAAACGGG